CAGCCCCGCCCACUGCACAGGCUGCCGGCGUCCACCUCCCUGCAUGCGAGGACGGCCCCACUUUCUUUGGAGUACUGGACGAUUUGAAUGACCAAAAUCCAGAAUUCACUCUGGUCCAACAGGUCCUGAGGGGAUUCUGCUCCUUUGUCCUUCCGAGACUACCCAGAACCUGUUCUAAGAAGAAUGAGAUGCAAAGGAAGCCAGCACGCACCAGCGGCAGUUGUGGAUGGAUGUGUACAUCUGGGUCACAGCCUUUCAGCUUGAAACCCUCCGCUGUCUUGCUUUUAUAUAUUCAGAAUAAAAACCUAUGAGACCCCAGGAGAACCAGAAUCUUUUAACUCUUUCCCACCCUUACUUGAUCUGCAGCUGAACUUGCAGCACACAGUGGCUUCCUGGAGCUUCCUAGAAGUCCGAGCCCCCUCUACCUCAGGGUUUUAGCAUGUCUUUCCCCUUUGUCCCAAAAACACAUGGUUUGGCUCUUGCAGACUUCUGCUCAUGU
rnacentral:lncRNA from 1 species